rnacentral:lncRNA from 1 species
UUUUUUGAGAGAGAGAUAGGUAGCACGCUACCCGCUUCGUUUAUUUCAUUAAGAAAUAAACUUAGCUGGAAAUAUGAAUCAACUAAGAUUCGAACUUGGGAUCUCAGGUACCAACCACCAAGCCCUUUGCCACUUACUUUAGGGACAGUCGGUGAAGCUUCCUGGCUGAGAAUCUCAUCUAAUUAUGUGUACAAUUUUGAGGUAAAAGUGAGCAAGACAAGUAUUGUAGCUUCUGUAAUUGUAAUGAAAAAGAGUUAAAAAUAGGAACAAUUAGUGCACCUUGUGCAUGUGCAUUGGUACAGGAAGAUUCCUUAGUAGAGGUAUAUACAUGUACUAAUUAAUCAACCUAAGGAUAAAGAAGCAAAGAAUUUCGAGCCGUACACCUUUAAUUUGCUUUAGAAUUAAUUCCCUCUUAAAGUGGCAAGUAAAGGAUCAAAGUUUCGUAGCUUAAAUUUCUGAUUUCACCAAGUGGCAAGCCAAAUUAUAGACCAUUGAAGUCUGUCCGUCUCACCAAAAGUGGAGAGCAGUGAAUUCAUUUUUACCAUAAAUGUUCACUUAUGUUGUUUUGUUUACUAUAACUCCACCUUCAGUCGAAACUCAAAAUUUUCAAAGUACCCUAAUUGACUUUGACCUACUUUGGGGCAAAGUCAAUUAUGAAAAUCAAAAGUGAGAAAAAAUAAUAAAAUAUUAACUAUGGGAAACUUUAGUUUUUAUGUCAUUAACUUUCUACCGAAAACACAGCAAAACUUGAAAAAAGAAUUAGUUUCACGAUUAUAAAAGUAAAUUGUAUAUAAUUAGUAUGUC